GGCAGCCGCCGCGGGAACACCGGCAGCUCUAGUGGUAGCAAUUUUAUUGGGCCUAAAGCGUCCGUAGCCGGUUUAAUAAGUCUCUGGUGAAAUCCUGCAGCUUAACUGUGGGAAUUGCUGGAGAUACUAUUAGACUUGAGACCGGGAGAGGUUAGAGGUACUCCCAGGGUAGAGGUGAAAUUCUGUAAUCCUGGGAGGACCGCCUGUUGCGAAGGCGUCUAACUGGAACGGUUCUGACGGUGAGGGACGAAAGUUAGGGGCGCGAACCGGAUUAGAUACCCGGGUAGUCCUAACUGUAAACGAUGCGGACUUGGUGUUGGGGUGGCUUUGAGCUGCUUCAGUGCCGAAGGGAAGCUGUUAAGUCCGCCGCCUGGGAAGUAUGGUCGCAAGACUGAAACUUAAAGGAAUUGGCGGGGGAGCACCACAACGCGUGGAGCCUGCGGUUUAAUUGGAUUCAACGCCGGACAUCUCACCAGAGGCGACAGCUGUAUGAUAGCCAGGUUGAUGACUUUGCUUGACUAGCUGAGGGGAGGUGCAUGG
rnacentral:rRNA from 1 species